UGGGUUAAGGGGAGAACAUUGCAUAGUCAUUCAGUGACACUGUCACUGAAUGACUAUGCAAUGUUCUCCCCUGGGUUGG